rnacentral:rRNA from 1 species
UACGGAGGGUGCAAGCGUUAUCCGGAUUUACUGGGUUUAAAGGGUGUGUAGGCGGACUUUUAAGUCAGGGGUGAAAUCCCGAGGCUCAACCUCGGAACUGCCUUUGAUACUAUUGGUCUUGAAUGUUGUUGAGGUGGGCGGAACGGGUCAUGUAGCGGUGAAAUGCAUAGAUAUGACCCGGAACACCGAUUGCGAAGGCAGCCCGCUAAGCAACUAUUGACGCUGAGGCACGAAAGCUAGGGGAGCAAACAGG